ACGGCUGAGUGAUAGCUGUUUCCUGAUCGUACUUGACUCCUGACUUUGAUCAUGGUUCAGGAUGAACGCUAGCUACGGGCUUAACACAAUGCAAGUCGAGGGGAAACGACAUCGAAAGCUUGCUUUUGAUGGGCGUCGACCGGCGCACGGGUGGAGUAACGCGUAUCCAACCUGCCCACCACUUGGGGAUAACCUUGCGAAAGUAAGACUAAUACCCAAUGAUAUCUCUAGAAGACAUCUGAAAGAGAUUAAAGAUUUAUCGGUGAUGGAUGGGGAUGCGUCUGAUUAGCUUGUUGGCGGGGUAACGGCCCACCAAGGCAACGAUCAGUAGGGGUUCUGAGAGGAAGGUCCCCCACAUUGGAACUGAGACACGGUCCAAACUCCUACGGGAGGCAGCAGUGAGGAAUAUUGGUCAAUGGACGAGAGUCUGAACCAGCCAAGUAGCGUGCAGGGUGACGGCCCUAUGGGUUGUAAACUGAUUUUAUAAGGGAAUAAAGUGAGUCUCGUGAGACUUUUUGCAUGUACCUUAUGAAUAAGGACCGGCUAAUUCCGUGCCAGCAGCCGCGGUAAUACGGAAGGUCCGGGCGUUAUCCGGAUUUAUUGGGUUUAAAGGGAGCGUAGGCCGGAGAUUAAGCGUGUUGUGAAAUGUAGACGCUCAACGUCUGCACUGCAGCGCGAACUGGUUUCCUUGAGUACGCACAAAGUGGGCGGAAUUCGUGGUGUAGCGGUGAAAUGCUUAGAUAUCACGAAGAACUCCGAUUGCGAAGGCAGCUCACUGGAGCGCAACUGACGCUGAAGCUCGAAAGUGCGGGUAUCGAACAGGAUUAGAUACCCUGGUAGUCCGCACGGUAACCGAUGGAUGCCCGCUGUUGGGUCUGAAUAGGUCAGCGGCCAAGCGAAAGCAUUAAGCAUCCCACCUGGGGGAGUACGCCGGCAACGGUGAAACUCUAAUGAAUGACCCCAGUGCGAAUUCGUCCCUGAAAGGUCUGGCCGUU
rnacentral:rRNA from 1 species